rnacentral:rRNA from 1 species
AGUCGAGCGAGUCUGCCUUGAAGAUCGGAGUGCUUGCACUCUGUGAAACAAGAUACAGGCUAGCGGCGGACGGGUGAGUAACACGUGGGUAACCUGCCCAAGAGAUCGGGAUAACACCUGGAAACAGAUGCUAAUACCGGAUAACAACAGAUGAUGCCUAUCAACUGUUUAAAAGAUGGUUCUGCUAUCACUCUUGGAUGGACCUGCGGUGCAUUAGCUAGUUGGUAGGGUAACGGCCUACCAAGGCGAUGAUGCAUAGCCGAGUUGAGAGACUGAUCGGCCACAUUGGGACUGAGACACGGCCCAAACUCCUACGGGAGGCAGCAGUAGGGAAUCUUCCACAAUGGACGCAAGUCUGAUGGAGCAACGCCGCGUGAGUGAAGAAGGGUUUCGGCUCGUAAAGCUCUGUUGUUGGUGAAGAAGGACAGGGGUAGUAACUGACCUUUGUUUGACGGUAAUCAAUUAGAAAGUCACGGCUAACUACGUGCCAGCAGCCGCGGUAAUACGUAGGUGGCAAGCGUUGUCCGGAUUUAUUGGGCGUAAAGCGAGUGCAGGCGGCUCGAUAAGUCUGAUGUGAAAGCCUUCGGCUCAACCGGAGAAUUGCAUCAGAAACUGUCGAGCUUGAGUACAGAAGAGGAGAGUGGAACUCCAUGUGUAGCGGUGAAAUGCGUAGAUAUAUGGAAGAACACCGGUGGCGAANGCGNNNCUCUGGUCUGUNNNUGA